rfam:Stachybotrys chartarum IBT 40288 unplaced genomic scaffold scaffold1132, whole genome shotgun sequence.
GGCCGCGUGGCCUAAUGGCUAAGGCGCUAGAUUUCGGUCUUCUAAAAUCUCUAGAGAUUCCAGGUUCGACUCCUGGCGUGGUCG